rnacentral:rRNA from 1 species
CCUACGGGAGGCAGCAGUGGGGAAUAUUGCACAAUGGGGGAAACCCUGAUGCAGCGACGCCGCGUGAGUGAGGAAGUAUUUCGGUAUGUAAAGCUCUAUCAGCAGGGAAGAAAAUGACGGUACCUGACUAAGAAGCCCCGGCUAACUACGUGCCAGCAGCCGCGGGAAUACGUAGGGGGCAAGCGUUAUCCGGAUUUACUGGGGGUAAAGGGAGCGUAGAGGGCGAGACAAGUUAGAAGUGAAAGCCCGGGGCGCAACCUUGGGAGUGCUUUUGAAACUGAGUAGCUAGAGUGCAGGAGAGGUAAGCGGAAUGCGUAGUGUAGCGGUGAAAUGCGUAGAUAUUAGGAGGAACACCAGUGGCGAAGGCAGCUUACUGGACUGUAACUGACGUUGAGGCUCGAAAGCGUGGGGAGCAAACAGGAUUAGAUACCCUUGUAGUC